rnacentral:rRNA from 1 species
GACCCUAUAGAGUUUUAUAAAUUUUAUUAUUUAAAUUUUUUAGAAUUUUUUAUUUUAAUUGUAAAAUUUAUUUGGUUGGGGUGACUAAAAAAUUUAAUAAACUUUUUUACAAUUAAAUCACUGAUUUGUGUAUAUCUGAUCCAUUAUUUAUGAUUAUUAGAUAAAAUUACCUUAGGGAUAACAGCGUUAUUUUCUUUGAGAGUUCUAAUCGAAAAGAAAGUUUGCGACCUCGAUGUUGGAUUAAAAUAAACUUCUGGUGUAGCAGCUAGGAAAGUUUGGUCUGUUCGACCAUUAAAAUUUUACAUGAUCUGA